rnacentral:rRNA from 1 species
GAUCCUGGCUUAGGACGAACGCUGGCGGCACGCUUAACACAUGCAAGUCGAACGGAGUUAUUGAAGCUUGCUUUGAAUAACUUAGUGGCGGACGGGUGAGUAACACGUGAGCAACCUGCCUUUGAGAGUGGAAUAGCUUCUGGAAACGGAUGGUAAUACCGCAUAACAUUACCGGACCGCAUGAUCUGGUAAUCAAAGAUUUAUCGCUCAAAGAUGGGCUCGCGUCUGAUUAGAUAGUUGGUGGGGUAACGGCCUACCAAGUCGACGAUCAGUAGCCGGACUGAGAGGUUGGACGGCCACAUUGGGACUGAGACACGGCCCAGACUCCUACGGGAGGCAGCAGUGGGGAAUAUUGCACAAUGGGCGGAAGCCUGAUGCCAGCGAUGCCGCGUGGAGGAAGAAGGUUUUCGGAUUGUAAACUCCUGAUCUGAGGGACGAUAAUGACGGUACCUCAGGAGAAAGCUCCGGCUAACUACGUGCCAGCCGCCGC